CUCAUGCGGUGAAGACGCCACAUAAAUACGGUGCUGGGAAUGAAUUGGAUCGUAAGCGCUCCCGAGAACCCCGGUAACCAGAGCAGCCUGGGUGUAAAAUGGGUGUUUUAAAGGUAUGAUGUGUUUGUUUAUUGAAGGGUUUAAAUUAUUUUUUGUAUGAUUAUGUGAAUUUAAGUGAGGUAUGUGAAUUGAUUUAUUUUUGUUUGUUUGUAAUAGAUUGCCUCGGUUUUGAUUUAAUUUGUCCUAAUUUUUGGUUGAAUAAUUGGGUUAUUCAGAAUUGAUUUGUUCUUGAGUUGUUUGGUUUUUUUUCUUUAAGAGAUUGAUGUUUGUGUCAUGCCUUCCUGAGGAAGGUGGAUGGUUAAACUAGAUUUUAGAGCCUUUGUAUCAAUAAAAGGAGUAUUUAUUAGGACCUUUGUGGUUCCUGGUGAUUAAUGAAAGCACCCACACAACAGAAUUUUGGCGACGAGGAUGGGAACCCUAAUUUAGGUGUACUUCCCUUUUCUUUCUUUUUUUUUUUUUUUUUUUUUUUU